rnacentral:rRNA from 1 species
AGGGAAAGUUGAAAAGAACUUUGAAGAGAGAGUUCAAGAGUACGUAAAACCGUUCAGGGGUAAACCUGAGAAACCCAAAUGGUCGAAUAGAGGACGAGAUUCAUUUACUUUUUAUCGUAUAUUAACCAACUUGUACGUUAUAUGUGACAAUAAUGCAAGUUCAUUUUUUCCUCUCAUAUCAUUUUUAUAUUUUAUUAUUUUUUUGUAAUAUGUAUAAUUCAAUUGGUAUGUUGCAUGGAUGAAAUGAAUAAAUUGCACAUUUGUAUGUUGCAGUAUAAUAACGAGGUAUGCACUUCUCGUUCUAUAUAGGACGUCGCGACUCAUUAAAUAUUGAUCUAUAGAAUGUUUUUGUGCAUUGACUGUUAUAUGAAAUGGUUUUCGGAUUAUUUUAUCUAUAUAAUAGAUGCCUACGUUGCUUGAUUAAUUGUUUGAUGGUAUUAAAUAGACAAUUUUAAUGGCCAAGUGUAAUAUUUUUAUAAUAUUACACGUUCAUUUACCAUAGACGAGUUCAAAAUGGGCUACGAUAAAAUUUCCAACCUUAACG